rnacentral:lncRNA from 1 species
AGGUGGGGGUCUGUGGUGGUGUAGAGAUGGUAGGUGGUGGUCUGUGGAGGUGUAGCGAUGGUAGGUGGGGGUCUGUGGUGGUGUAGAGAUGGUAGGUGGUGGUCUGUGGUGGUGUAGAGAUGGUUGGUGGGGGUCUGUGGUGUUGUAGAGAUGGUCUGUGGUUGUCUGUGGUGGUGUAGAGAUGGUAGGUAGGGGUCUGUGGUGGUGUAGAGAAUGUAGGUGGGGGUCUGUGGUGGUGUAGAGAUGGUCUGUGUUGGUCUGUGGUGGUGUUGAGAUGGUAGGUGGUCGUGUAGAGAUGGUAGGUGAUGGUCUGUGGUGGUGUAGAGAUGGUAGGUGGGGGUCUGUGGUGGUGUAGAGAUUUUAGGUGGUGGUCUGUGGUGGUGUAGAGAUGGUAGGUGGUGGUGUAGAGAUGGUCUGUGGUGGUGUAGAGAUGGUAGGUGGUGGUCUGUGGAGGUGUAGAGAUGGUAGGUGGUGGUGUAGAGAUGGUCUGUGGUGGUGUAGAGAUGGU